GACGAACGCUGGCGGCGUGCUUCAUACAUGCAAGUCGAACGAGAAGCUGACUUCGGUCAGUGGAAAGUGGCGGACGGGUGAGUAAUAUGUAGGAAAUCUGCCUUUAGGAGGGGGACAACAGAGGGAAACUUCUGCUAAUACCCCAUAUGAGCGUAGCUGAAAUGCUAUUCUUGAAAACUCCGGUGCCUAAAGAUGAGCCUGCAUCUGAUUAGCUAGUUGGUAGUGUAAUGGACUACCAAGGCGACGAUCAGUAGCUGGUUUGAGAGGAUGAUCAGCCACAAGGGGACGGAGACACGGCCCAUACUCCUACGGGAGGCAGCAGUAGGGAAGUUUGCGCAAUGGGCGAAAGCCUGACGCAGCAACGCCGCGUGAACGAUUAAGCCCUUCGGGGUGUAAAGUUCUGUCAGUGGGGACGAAACUUGACGGUACCCACAGAGGAAGCACCGGCUAACUCCGUG
rnacentral:rRNA from 1 species